rnacentral:rRNA from 1 species
UCAUAUGUACAUGCCUACAAUGUUAAUGCAUUGGAUGCCAUUAUAACUCCAUAUUUAAGCAUGAUUGGGAUAGAGUAGUACUAGGAUGGGUGACCUCUUUAGAAUUCUGUGUGUUUUAC